UUGGAAGCAUGGCCUCUUAACCACUGGACCGCCGGGGAAGUCCUGGCGAUCACAAAGCACCGCUGAUAUCCCUGUGCUAUGCGGCUACUUCCCACUAGCUCUCUACCUUACGGGAAACAAUGUAUUUAAUCCACCUGAUGACCCUAUGGAGAAACAGAGGUCUGGAGAGGUGGUCUCUAGCCCAGCGUUUCAGAACGAGGAAGUGGCUGAGCCAGGAUUUGAACCAGCAGGAAUCUGAACUGCUAAGAGUAACUAACUGGGAGCCACUGUGGGAGUUUUAAGCCAAGAAGUCAGAGAACUUCUAUUUGGCUAAUGUGUGGACAACAUUCAACUAAAUCCUGCACCGGAGACCCAGACAAAUGGACUCUGCCUGGGUUCCAGGAUGUCUUCUUGGAGGAGGUGACGUUGGAGCAGGUGACAAGUAGCAAAGGCCUGAGAGAAUCCGCCUUGUUCUGGGAAGAGGGUGCAGCAUUGUGUCCGGGAAAGCCCAGCGAUGAGGCUGGGGAAAUAGGUCAGGACUCAUUUGGGAAAGUACCUUGGCUUUGGGACUUUGUCCUAUAACUCACUUUGGAGCUUGCGAACCAGCAAAUUUCAAAGACAAAAUUAGAGGUCAGACAUAGGGUGGUCAACUUUUUAUUCUGCCAGUUUGGACUUAAAGAAAAAAGAGAGGGAGAGAGAGAGAGAGACCAUUUUGUUAAUUCUAAAAGCAUUUAUUGAGUACCUACUGUGUAUUAAGGAAUGUUCUGGGGCAGGGUCUGAGUUUGUUUUUCCCACUCUUGUACCCUCAGAGUCGAGAGUCACGGAAAGCCCCUAAUAGAAGGAAUGAGUAAAGUUAAAGGCAUUUGCUAGGGUAAGGUCAGUGUGGGAAUAAGCUGCUGGGAAUGAGGUCAAGGCGUGCGAGGCUGUAGAUGAGCUUGGAGAUAGAAGGGAAUAAAUUUGGAGGUCUUCGGUCUUUAGGUUAUUAUCAGUUUUAAAACUAAUUCAUUUUAUUUUUAUGGUUAUUUCCUGUAUUCUGGGGAUUUCAUAAAUAAAGAUGAAAAAGAUUUCCCUGGUGAGUCUCUUUCUGCUUAGUUGCAGCAGGGGCAACCAUGCCAUGGGGAUUUUCCUCUUAGGGACUCCGGAACCGGGAGACACUGCAUUUUGUGGGUGAAAACGCCAGCGGUAGAGUGAAAGCUGUCACUUGCUGAACACUCAUCAUGACCCAGGCGCUGUCCAGAGCUCUGUCCACAUAUUAACUCAUUUAAUUGUCAUGACAGUAAAAUGCAAAGUCCUUACUCUCAUGAUCCCGUCCCUGCCCCGCUCUCACACAUUACCUCCUGCCACUCAUAUAACCUCCUGCCUCCUGCCUCCUGCUUCCUGCCUUUUUCACUCCAGCCUGCUUCCCAUUCUUCCUACACACCAAGCUCAUGUCCACCCCCAGCCCUUUGCACCGGCCAUCCCCUCUGCUGGGAAAGCUCUCUCUCCAUCUUUGGACGGCUUCCUCUCCUUCAUUCUCAUGUCGGCUGGAGCGUGACCACCUUAUGAGAAACAGCAUCUCUUCUUCCACACCCCCAGCCCUCCAGCCCUCUACUCUGCUUUACCCCUCUUCGUAGCAGUUCUCUCUUCUGACAUCCUAUUGUACAUGUAUCUGUUUUUUAUGCAACUGUCCCACAUGAAUGUCAGCUCCAUGAGGGCGGGAACUUUGUCUCACCGUCCUUUCCUCCUCACCCAGAGCAGUAGGAGCUCAAUAAACAUCAGGACCCUGAGUGAUGGAAACAAUCUGUCGAGGUAAAACUGCUAUCAUCCCAUUUUACAGACGAGGAAUCUAAGGCACAGGGAGGUUAAGUCACUCAGUUGACAAACGGCAGAGAUGGGAUUCAGAUCCAAGCAGCCCAGCUUAAAGAUUGGACCAGGGGCCUGCAGGUUUCCCAUAUCAUUUAGCUUUUGCUAUAAUAAUGCUGUGUAACAAACCACCCCGACUCUCAGUAGCAUUUAUUUAGCUCACGAAGUUUGUGGUGGGCAGUUUUAGGCUGGGCUUGGCUGGAUGGUUUUCCUGGGCUCAGCUGUGCUUACCCACAUGUCCGGGGAUCUGGUGUUGGCUGAUCUAGCCUGGUCUUGGCUGGGGUGGCUGGGAGACUUGGUUUUGCUCCACAUGUCUGUCCUUUCCAAGAGGCUAGCCCAGGCUUGUUCUCAUGGAAGCAAAAGUACAGGUAAAAACGUACCAGGCCCCUCCAUUAAGACGUAGGCUGGAGAUUGGCACUCUGUCAUUUCCAACUCAUUCUGCUGGUGAAAGCAAGUCACACAGCCAACCCAGAGUCAUAUAAUUACAAAGUUACAUGGUCAAGAGCAUGGACACAGGAAGGGGUGAGGAACUGGGGCCAAAAGUACAAUCUGCCAUAGUUCCCAUCAGCUGAAAGAUCUUGGGCUCUGCUCCCCAGCAGGAGAGGUCAGAGGCCAUUUGACAGAGGGUCCAAGGGAGCUCCCGUUUCAUGCUUCUUUGAAGGAAACACUCAGGAUCAGGGUGGACAGGGUUUGUGUGGGGGGAAGGGAACAACGUAGUAGAGAGUGGAUGGGGGAAGAAGCUGUUGUGUCUGCAUUUCUCGUUUGGGUGUGGCCAUCUAGAGGAAGCUGGCUGGAAGCUUGGAAGCCGUCCACGUUAUCUGGUUGAGGAGUGAGUGCUUUAGUUGAUCAUAGUCAUGGCAUUAUCUGAUUUGAGGUUUUUCACCUAAAUGGAUUAAUUUAGAUCUAUCUAUCAAUCAAUUAUACAUUGGCUAUGUUUUUCUGAAUUUUUGUCUUUGGCUCAGUGAAGCCUUGGUUUGUAAAUAAUGGUGCAGAUGGGGGUUUCAUGCAUCCUAAGAUCUUUUGAGUCAUUUCAAAACCUUUCCUCCUAGUUCUUGUGUAAGCUUUGGGCUUUGCAAACCCGCCUUCCAUGCUGCAUGCCCUGCAGAAGCCACUUAAUCAUCACAACAGCUCUAUAUAGCCAGACUACGAUUAUUUCCAUUUGACAAGCCAGGAAGACUUAGUGGUUUCCACAAGCCAGUUUCCCAGAACUUUUGCUGCUUGUAAAAAUGAUUGGACCCAGAUGAUUCUAGAACUUCCCUGGAUACAAAAAGCGAGGCUGGCUACGCUGUCACCAGCAGAAUAGAGACAGCUGUCCUGGCACAGGGGCAUGAGGCAGGGAUUCAGACACACUCUUCUUGCAGGAGGGGGGACCCCUUCCAGGGCUCUUGUCUAACACUCGGAAAUGAACUGUCCAAGGAGACACAUGUGUUGACAGAGCAAGAGACUUUACUGGGAAGGGGCGCCCGGGUGGAGAGCAGCAGGGGAAGGGAACCCAGGAGGACUGCUCUGCCACGUGGCUUGCAGUCCCAUGUUUUAUGGUGAUGGGAUUAGUUUCCGGGUUCUCUCUGGCCAAUCACUCUGACUAUAAGUCCUUCCUGGUGGAGCUCGCAUCGCUCAACCAAGACGGAUUCAAGUGAGGACUCUGGGAGGCUGGUAGGACAUAUGGACUGGAGUCUCCUCUCUCCUUUUGACCUUUCCUGAAUUCUUCCGGUUGGUGGUAGCGAGUAAUGUUCUAAGAGCUUCAUGAAGACUAACCCAUUUCACACGAACAAAAACAACCACACCACAAGGAAUACUUAUUGAAUGCCUCCUAUGUGCCAGGUGCUGUUCUGAGCACGGGGGCACAGGAGUAAUCAAAGCAGCCUAACUGGUAGAGGUACUUUUAGCAGAAGAAUUCAAGGGGGAAAAAAAAAGACCACACCUGCAGAGAAAGUGGUUUAUCGAUUGGAUCCCCACACAGCGGGAACAUGGUGGAGAUGCAGGGAAAGGAUUUCACCUGUCACUCAGAGCAUCACCUUCACGCUUGAGAUUUCUUGAUUUUCUUCACUGAGGUUUCAGAGGCUUGACUGCACCCAUGGCCACGGGCGGAUGCACUGGACAGUAAUUGAACACAGUCCUGGGAUCUUCAGGAAUUUCAUCACCUAUAUGGGAUUCCUAGGCUGCUUUAGAUUCCUGAAGGACCUCGGUGGGAUUUGAGAGCAGUUGGAAGAGGCCCCGAAGUCGCUAAGAGGGAUAGCAGAGCUUACAGGGCCUGCAUGGAGCCCAUGAAUCCCCAGACAGGGUUGAAGAUUUCCCAGUGGAAGCCAGCAGGAAUGGAAGCUGAGAACCCAGGCAUCAGUGAGAACCUGGACAUGAGCAUCAUGACAGGUGAAAACUAGACAGUCACCUUCUGCCCACCAGCACUAUAGCAAAGCCCUGGGUGAGGAGAGUGGAAAGGAAAACAAGCCCUGAAUUGACUGAACUUAGAUCUGAAAUGACUGCGAAAACCCUGACAUGACCGAGUUUACUCAGACUGGUUACUCCACUAGGUAGAAUGGGGGAUUGUUAUAAACAAAAUUAUCAUAAAAAAUAAUAUAUUUAAAAACAAAAUUAUCAUAAAAAGAAAUAAUAUAUUUAAAUAGUUUAUAUUAUAUAUUUAAAAAUUAAGGAAGUCGGCACACUUGAGUUUGUGGACUGAGAAAUUUGUACAUGCUGCAUAAAGCUCUUUGGCAGAUGACAGAUAUAAUUUUAAAAAUACCAAAACAAUUCACAGGCCAAAUUUUUAAAAAUUAUGGCUCUCCUCCAUUUACUCAGGAGUGUCUUCUGCGACUGUCUUCGGUGCCAUUAAGAAGCCAGUGUCCUAUGGGAAACAGCUACUUGGCUUUUUCGGUUCGUUUUUUGUUUUUGAUUUUGUGUUUUACCCCAAAUAGUAUUUACCAGUCAAGGCUCUGAAUGCUUGUAAUUUCCCAAAUUUAUAUGUCCCCUCAUUAAGUUAAAGUUUUAUUUGUUGGUGUUUCCGCUCCUUCUUUAGAGAGAUUCACCAAACUGACACAAUGGAGAACUGGAUGCCUGGGAAUAAAGAUAACGUAGUAGCUGGAGUGGGCCUUUAACUCAAAGAGUUAGUAAGAACUAGAGAACUUUCUAGAAAGAACUUGGCUGGACUAUACUAUGAUCAGACUCCCCUGUCCUUUGUGGGAGGGGUCAACAGUUUGUAUUAAAACUCUCCUCCCACUCCCAGUGCAGUUUAUUGUAUGUCAAUUAAGCCUCAAUAAGGCUGUUUUUUAAAAAAAUGAAAAAAAGUCUGUUCCCCUUUACUCUAUCUUUGCUCUAUACAGCUCCUAUAUCACUGGAGUAUUUUACAAUAACAUAGACUUUACGUAUUCUUGAGUAAUAAGUUAAAUAAAUAAGCCUAAGAAUGUGAAAAAAGAAUCUCCCCACCCAAUAGUUUUUCACCAACAUUCAUCAGACCCUACUGAACCCCAGGUCCCUCCUAAGUUCCUUCUGUCCACUGAGGAGGCAUUAAGUAGUCAGCAGAGAUGGGAAGGAAUGAUGUAAAGUGGGCAAGGGACAAACAGGAUAGAGGGAGAUGGGGCCACUAUAAUUGAAGAAUUUAGAGUCUGAUUUUUCUCAUUCUGCCACACCUCCCAGGGAAAUAUUAGAACCCCAAGGCAGGUGACGUUGGCCUUACAAUUGGGUUGGGAGCGUUCUGGAGGAGGACAACAUUAGCCUCUUGUCCAGCUAGCAAGACAAGGAAACCUAUUAGAGUGAAAGGAAAACCAGACUUUAGGUCAAAACAUCAGAGUUCUGGUUCUGGCUCUGCCCAUAGCUAUGUAAGUGUGAGAAAUUCAUUAAAGUUUUCGAGAUCUUUGAUUCCCUUUCUGCAAAAUGUGUAGGUUGGAGGAGAUGAAUUUUAAGGGCCCUUUUAGCUCAAUAAUGCCACUUCUAGUUUUGAGGCAUACACACAUCACGGCAGAAACUUUAUUAGAAAUGUCAGAUGCAUCCACUGGGACUGUUCUUCAGGCUUCCACCUGCCCCUCAGCUUGCUGAUGACCACUCAGAAGAGAUGUCCCGUGACCCGGGACCCGAAGCACCUACUCAAUGGACAAGCGCUUGCAGCGACAGUGGCAGCAGUAGCUCUAACCUCCAGACUGAAGUGUGAAGCCAUGUGGCCCCACUUUCAACCUUUCGGGGAGAGACAGACCUGAGUGGACACGUUUCCUUCACCCACAGGGGCCCUAUUGUAAAGAUCCCAGACAUCAGCCUGCAGCCAUCUGUGGAUGUACAGCCUUUGAUCUCCAAAGGUGCGCUGAGGUCUCCUGUGGAACAAGGAGGGAUGGGGAGACACAUAGAUGUUUUAGGAAAUCAGAGAGGAGUCCACGCCUCCCUCAUUCCUGGAACCCUGAGUGUCAGAACCUCUUGGGCUACACUCAGAUGACUGGUUUUCCAGCCUCUGAAACCAUCAGAUGUUCAGUUUACCUCCAGUGACCUGAAGUUUUCCUUGAUAGCAUUGAUUUGUAUCGUUGGGGCAGGAAAGAGAAGGAGCAUUCAAACAGGACCCCAAAGCCAGACAGGUUGGGCAGUGGAGGUCUGUUGACCUUCUGGGAGCUGAAGGGGGAGAGAGAGGGACAAUUAAGGGCGAGUCCCGCCUCUGAGUUGCCUCCCCUUGCUGCCUUCUCUUCCUCCAGUCUUUCCUGCUGAUGCCUCUCUACUCAAGGACUGUUACUACCACCUCCCCACCCCUCUCCAACUGAUUUCUGUGCUGUCAGAACCCCAUCCAACAUGACUUCCGAACUCUGUGCUUAGGUGUGGAGAUACAGAUAUGAAAAGGACACAGUUCCUGCCAGCUAGGAUCACUGCCUUGAAGGAGACAGACAUUGUCUCCGAGGCCCGGAAGGCGGGGCCUGCUUCACCGGACAGAUCAACUCGAAGCCCCAUUGGUCGAUACGAAAGCAUCUGAUGAGCUCAUUGGAUGAGCCUGGAGGAACGCCACACCCCAUUGGCCUAUCCCAGGCUGUCUUGCUAGUACGCAUGCGCAGGACGCCGAGUGGCUGGCAAGCCGGGGGACCUAGAACGCGCUGGUCUUUGCCGCGCUAGGCCUGCAGGGCGGGGCGGGGCGGGGCGAGCGGUGCCUCCCCAAAUGGCCUUGCUUACACUUUUAUCUCUUUGGGUUAUAGAAUCCCUACUUCUCCAGCCACACUAGGAAGUCAAACCCUUGGCUUUCACCCACUGAACUUUUCUCCCUGUCCAAAUUGCCUCGCAUGUUUCCAGCCUGGCCCCUGCCCCAGCACCCAUCCGGUGGCCAUAGCCACCGGAAGUCAACUUGGCCUCCUCACCCGUCACUUGCAGUGGUUCCUGCUCAGCCCAGGCCUCAUCCUCUGAACACGUCAUGGCACCAGCCUCUUCCGUGACCUUCUGGAAGGCUGAAUAGGGUAAUGCGGGCUUCAGUGUUACUUCCGGCACCCCUGAAUGACCGAUUGCCAUCGUAUCUAACCCACGUGUCAGUGUCAGUACCAUGAACACGUUGUGUCAUUCAGAUUUCUUGUUCAUGGCUGGAAAAUCCUAUUUCAUAUAUAUAUAUAUAUAUAUAUAUAUAUACACACACACACACAUACACACACACACAUAUAUAUAUACACAUAUAUAUGUGUAUCUAUAUGUGUAUAUAUAUAUAAGCUUUCUGAUGUAACAUGAAGUAGAGAUGUCUUUUGUGUUCUUUCAGACUUGGUACUGUUUCUGUGACUUCUAUGGUAUAAAUGAAUAUUUAUUUUUAAUAGAGAAAAGUGCCCCAGUAAGAAUGGUGCUGGUAAAAGUCUAAAUUUUAUGUAAAAAUAUAUUAAGAGUUUUCAGUUGGGGACUGUAAGAGUAUUAUUAUUAAUAUGGUUAUUAACAUAAAUAUUAGGAACAGUUCAUAUAUACAGUAAGAGAGAGUUCUGGUCCCAAAGACCCUGUCUCUCAGGACCCAGGACUCUGAGCCACCCUCCCUUCUUCUUGGGACUCAGGCCUCCAGCACUCACCUCCUCUGAGCUGUAACAGUAUGUGGUUUUCCCGGGUCAUUGUGUACCUAUAGGUGUGGUGCAAGGUCUCAGGUCUUGGCCACAAUUGCCAAUGCAGGACCAAUGGGUUAGGGGAAACUGGAGGGCAGAGAGGGUGGUUGGGAGCUGCACAGACACCUGCUUCAAGCUCCAGAAUGUUGUCUCAGGGCCCUCAUCCCUUCCCAUGCCUCUGACUGGCACUCACCCUUCCUCUUCUGUCCUAGCCCCAAAGCUGGCUUCUAGCACCUGUAGUGAAGGUCAUCUUAAAUAAUCUCUUGGCCUGUUAAUUAGUUUGCUGAGGCUGCCGUAACUAAGUACCACAGAUUGAGAGGCUGAAAGUCCAAAAUAAAGGUAUCAGCAGGGUUGGUUCCUCCUGAGGGCUGUGAGGGAAAGAUCUCUUCCAGACCUUUCUCCUUGGCUUGUAGA